GUUAACGUGUUUACUGUUGUUGAGAGGGAAGCUAGUUUUGGCCAGAAAUAAUUUUGUUUCUCGGGUUUCCUUUGUUUUACUUUACAUCUCGGGCUUGGAAGGUGGAAACCUCAGACAUAAUAAGAAAAGAAUACAGAAGAGAAUAUCCGGGCAGCUCCCUGCAGAAGUUAAAUGUGAAAAGAGCUAAAGAGGCGUGCAAGCAGGAGAGGACAGGAAGCAGAUACUGCCAUCAAAAAUCGUCUUUCUUGGGGUUCCUGGGAUCGUUGCCUCACAUGGCUCAGAGGCCCCGAAAAUCUCAAAGGGCCAGCUGGACCCUCACAAGCUCGAUGUGCUCAUAGGGAGUUGUUCCUAUUGGACUGCUACACUUUAAGCUUAACCAAAGCACAAACUCCCUGCAUCCAUGGCUAUUCAUUCUAGUGCCUUUGUGGGCCCUCCUCACCUGAGGGCCCUGCCCCACCCCCCAAGUCCUACGCCCCUAAA